rnacentral:rRNA from 1 species
GUGGGGAAUCUUGCGCAAUGGGCGAAAGCCUGACGCAGCCAUGCCGCGUGAAUGAUGAAGGUCUUAGGAUUGUAAAAUUCUUUCACCGGGGACGAUAAUGACGGUACCCGGAGAAGAAGCUCCGGCUAACUUCGUGCCAGCAGCCGCGGUAAUACGAAGGGGGCUAGCGUUGCUCGGAAUUACUGGGCGUAAAGGGCGCGUAGGCGGACAGUUUAGUCAGAGGUGAAAGCCCAGGGCUCAACCGUGGAAUUGCCUUUGAUACUGGCUGUCUUGAGUACGGGAGAGGUGAGUGGAACUCCGAGUGUAGAGGUGAAAUUCGUAGAUAUUCGGAAGAACACCAGUGGCGAAGGCGACUCACUGGCCCGUUACUGACGCUGAGGCGCGAAAGCGUGGGGAGCAAACAGGAUUAGAUACCCUAGUAGUCC